rnacentral:lncRNA from 1 species
UGUAGGUGGGUAGACAUUAGAAAUAUUGGGACGUUAAAGUAUGAGCAUCAUAAUAAACCCAUCCUAACAAAUAGAUAAAUGAAUCUAAUAAGGUUUUACUACUACAAAGUUAUUAUGCCUCCCCGUAGAAUGACAAGAACUACUCAAGGAAUUGCAAGAGAGACAUCACAACCAUGGGAUGGUAGCACUCCCCAUCUGACUAGUGGCACUCCUCAGGAGGAGGG